CCUACGUGUGGCUGCAGUGAGGAAUAUUGGUCAAUGGGCGCGAGCCUGAACCAGCCAAGCAGCGUGAAGGAUGACUGCCCUAUGGGUUGUAAACUUCUUUUAUACAAGAAUAAACUGAGGCACGCGUGCCUUUCUGUAUGUACUUUAUGAAUAAGGAUCGGCUAACUCCGUGCCAGCAGCCGCGGUAAUACGGAGGAUCCGAGCGUUAUCCGGAUUUAUUGGGUUUAAAGGGAGCGUAGGCGGUGUGUUAAGUUAGUUGUGAAAGUUGGGGGCUCAACGUGGAAAUUGCAAUUGAUACUGGGCGGCUAGAGAGCAGUUGAGGUAGGCGGAAUGCGUGGUGUAGCGGUGAAAUGCUUAGAGAGCAUGCAGAACACCGAUUGAGAAGGCAGCUUACAAAGCUACUACUGACGUUGAUGCACGAAAGUGUGGGGAUCAAACAGGAUUAGAUACCCGAGUAGUC
rnacentral:rRNA from 1 species